rnacentral:lncRNA from 1 species
AGCUGGAGUGGACAGGACGGCUUUCGAGAUUUGGCGCGGCCUUUGUCUCUGGCUGCAGUCGUAGCUCCAGGUCUUUUCUUCUCUGUUCUGUGUCUUCUGCUCCUAGAGGCCCAGCUUCUGUGUCCCUGUGACCUGUAGGUAUUGGGAGAUCCACAGCUAAGAUGCCAGGACCCCCUGGGCCUUUUUCUUCCUAGGUUCUGCCUGCAAAGAAGAUUGUGACAUAUUGCUGGUUGCAACACCACGGUGAUGUUACUUUUUGCCUUCUCACUGCCCUCAGAAGGCAUUGUGAUAUGUUGGUGGUCCCCUUUCUUUUUUCAGACUUGUCUGCAGCGCAGAUUGCUACAUAUUGCUUGGCCCAGCUCCUAUGUGAUGUGACUCUCCUGUCAUACCUGAUCUCACUUUUUCUAGAUGGGCAACAGACCAACUUCAGCUUGCAACCCUCUGGAGUGCAUUCUGUAACACUGGAACUUCUUUAACCUCCGGACUUUGAAGAAGAAAGCAACCAUUUUCUUUUGCACAAGGGCAUGACAUUUAUAAAAAAAAAUUACAGAUAUCAACUCUUGGAUACACCACACUCAAGUCAAGUCCUGAAGAGCUGAGGGAGCAACCCCUUACAAGCCCAGAGGAAUGUCCUGAAUAUCAGUGUGAAGAAAUAGAAAAUCUUAAGCUGAAAAUCAUAAAAGAUAAGUAACUUAGGGCUACUCAUCUUGCUCACUACUACGUCAUUGGACACUUUUUGUCAUUUCUAUUUUUCCUCUCCAAGUUUGCCGCCAACUAUUAAAACUUCUCUUUUAACACAUAUUUACAAGAAAAUUUUAAUUAUUCAUAGGAUUGCAUUUGUAACUUCAUAGAACCCCAAAGGGAAAUUCUAUACCUUGGCAAAUAAAAUUUAUAAAUAA